rnacentral:rRNA from 1 species
AAUGAACGCUGGCGGCGUGCCUAACACAUGCAAGUCGAACGAGAAAUUUCCUGCUUGCAGGAGAAAGUAAAGUGGCGCACGGGUGAGUAACACGUGGGUAACCUACCCUUGAAUUUGGGAUAACUUCGCGAAAGCGACGCUAAUACCGAAUAUUAUAAUUUUAACUCCGGUUUUAAUUAUGAAAGGUGACCCCUUCUUGAAAGUUGCCGUUUAAGGAUGGGCCCGCGUACCAUUAGCUAGUUGGUAGGGUAAUGGCCUACCAAGGCUACGAUGGUUAGCUGGUCUGAGAGGAUGACCAGCCACACUGGAACUGAAACACGGUCCAGACUCCUACGGGAGGCAGCAGUGAGGAAUUUUGCGCAAUGGGGGAAACCCUGACGCAGCAACGCCGCGUGAGUGAAGAAGGCCUUCGGGUCGUAAAGCUCUGUCAGAUGGGAAAAAAGUUCAUCUAUUAAUAGUAUAUGAAUCUGAUGGUACCAUCAGAGGAAGCACCGGCUAACUCCGUGCCAGCAGCCGCCGUAACAC